rnacentral:rRNA from 1 species
AGUGGCGGACGGGUGAGUAACACGUAAGAAUUUGCCUUUAGGAGGGGGACAACAACUAGAAAUGGUUGCUAAUACCCCAUAUGCUUUCGAGUGAAAUGGAUUUUUCCGCCUAGAGAGAAGCUUGCGGCUGAUUAGCUUGUUGGUGAGGUAAUGGCUCACCAAGGCGACGAUCAGUAUCUGGUUUGAGAGGACGAUCAGACACACUGGAACUGAGACACGGUCCAGACUCUUACGGGAGGCAGCAGUGGGGAAUUUUCCGCAAUGGGCGAAAGCCUGACGGAGCAAUACCGCGUGAGGGAUGACGGCCUAUGGGUUGUAAACCUCUUUUUUCAGGGAGGAAUCAAUGACGUGUACCUGAAGAAUAAGCAUCGGCUAACUCCGUGCCAGCAGCCGCGGUAAGACGGAGGAUGCAAGUGUUAUCCGGAAUCACUGGGCGUAAAGCGUCUGUAGGUGGUCCAAUAAGUCAACUGUUAAAUCUUGAGGCUCAACCUCAAAAUCGCAGUCGAAACUAUUAGACUAGAGUAUAGUAGGGGUAAAGGGAAUUUCCAGUGGAGCGGUGAAAUGCGUAGAGAUUGGAAAGAACACCGAUGGCGAAGGCACUUUACUGGGCUAUUACUAACACUCAGAGACGAAAGCUAGGGUAGCAAAUGGGAUUAGAUACCCCAGUAGUCCUAGCCGUAAACAAUGGAUACUAGAUGUU